UUCAAACAAAACGUUACAGACCCAUUCCUUUUUUCCUUCUUUUUAAAACAAAACAAGGAUUCUUUCUCUUCUUUAAAAAAAGUUCCAAAUCCCUAAACCCCAUUUUUGCUCUCCUUCAACAGAUCAUAGAGAGGCCAUCCAACCAACCCUUUUUUGAGUCUAAUUCCAACGACGGAGAAGGAUUCUCCGGCACUGUGACCGCGGGUUCAGGUGGCGUGGUGGAUGUGGGCACUGACAUGGCGUGAGUAGUGCGGCAUUGGAGGCCCGAGUGGCGUGGGACGCGGAGGUCGUUGGUGGAGCGGCGACUGUUGCAAGCACUGGGGCUAGGGGUUUUUUUGCUGAAAAGUUUAGGUUUUAGGCCCCUUUGGGCUUUAGGGUUAUUAGGGUUUGGGUUUAAGUUUUAUUUUGGGUUUUAGAUUUAGGUUAAAAACAAUUGGGCUUGUAAUUGGACUGUAAAAAAAAAGAAUUUUAUUUCUGUUUAUUUGUUUGUGGGUCUUGGGCCCGGGCUAAAACUGGGCCCUACAGUAUAGAUGUAACACUUAUUGUCCUUUCAUUAUCAAAUCAAAAAUAAUUUAAUGAUGUUAAA